rnacentral:tRNA from 1 species
GCCCAGGUGCUGGAACUGGUAGACAGGCUAGCUUGAGGUGCUAGUGAGCAUUAGCUCGUGGGAGUUCAAAUCUCCCCCUGGGCACGA